rnacentral:misc_RNA from 1 species
CGCACCUUGCACCUCUUGGUAUUCCGAGAGGUACAUCUGUUUGAGUGUCAUGAAUAUCUCAACCCCGACAUUUUCUUGUAGGAUGUCGUGGUGUUGGAUGCUGAGUGUUGCUGUUUGAUCAGCUCGCUUCAAAUGCAUGAGCAAUCUUGUAGCCUUCGGAUUGACUCGACGUGAUAAGAUCUUCGUCGAGGAUGCUUUCCAGCAGCCGGACCGGUAUAUGAGUGGCUACGAAAAUGCUAUGCCUCUGGUGUAGACUCUUGAUUUUAGACCUCAAAUCAGAUGGGACUACCCGCUGAACUUAA